rnacentral:tRNA from 1 species
GCCUGGGUGGCCUAGUUAGUUAAGCUUCUGACUUCUGCUCAGGUCAUGAUUUCACGAUUUGCGGGUUCAAGCCCCGUCACAGGCU